AUCAAAGUAACAUCAUCACCAACCUUAUAGCAUUCUUAUUCAAUUCUAUCCUCCACCUUCCACAAAACCAAUUUUUUCAAUAUAUAAUCCACCACAACACAACAAUUAUUUCUCAUGACAUAAUGACUUUCUAAUGCAUCCUAUGUACCCAUUUUUUUUCAAUUGUCUCACUUUUCUUCUUUUCUUUUUCUUUUCUCUUUUUUUUUCAACGACUUGUAGGAUACUAGGAUUUUUUCAAUCAAGAUCAAAGUUCAUAAACCAUCAUCACACAUCUCCACAAACCAACCAUCCCAUAACAACAAUCUCCAAGCUCCCACCCACGGCUAAACCAAAUAAAAUGGAAAAUAAAAAGCUCAAAGGGGCGAACUAGGAUCAUAUAUAGUAAAAGGACAAGUAUGGGAUAUAUAGGCUAGCAAAGAUGGCCUUCUAUCAUCUCACAGUUAUUAAGCACGCUAUGUGACCUCGAGGGAGAAACCAAGACAAGUUCUAGUGAGAAACAAGCAUGCUUGAACAAUCACUCGAGUAAAAGAAAUAAGACUGUAAAAAUAGUGACAGUCAAGGCUCAAAUCUCACAGCUUAUUUCAUUGAUUGCAAACACAUAGAGACCA
rnacentral:lncRNA from 1 species